rnacentral:tRNA from 1 species
GCGGGCGUGGCGGAAUUGGCAGACGCGUCAGGUUUAGGUCCUGAUGUCCCUUACGGGACGUGUAGGUUCGAGUCCUAUCGCCCGCA